AUUGAACGCUGGCGGCAUGCUUUACACAUGCAAGUCGAACGGUAACAGGCCGCAAGGUGCUGACGAGUGGCGAACGGGUGAGUAAUGCAUCGGAACGUGCCCAGUCGUGGGGGAUAACGCAGCGAAAGCUGUGCUAAUACCGCAUACGAUCUAUGGAUGAAAGCGGGGGACCGUAAGGCCUCGCGCGAUUGGAGCGGCCGAUGUCAGAUUAGGUAGUUGGUGGGGGAAAGGCCUACCAAGCCGACGAUCUGUAGCUGGGCUGAGAGGACGACCAGCCACACUGGGACUGAGACACGGCCCAGACUCCUACGGGAGGCAGCAGUGGGGAAUUUUGGACAAUGGGCGCAAGCCUGAUCCAGCAAUGCCGCGUGCAGGAAGAAGGCCUUCGGGUUGUAAACUGCUUUUGUACGGAACGAAACGGCCUGGGUUAAUACCCUGGGCUAAUGACGGUACCGUAAGAAUAAGCACCGGCUAACUACGUGCCAGCCGCCGCAGUAACAC
rnacentral:rRNA from 1 species